rnacentral:rRNA from 1 species
UGUAAGUUUGCGAAAAAGUGGUCAAGUUACAAAGGGCUGAUGGUGGAUACCUAGGCACACAGAG